UUGAUCCUGGCUCAGAUUGAACGCUGGCGGCAUGCCUUACACAUGCAAGUCGAACGGCAGCACGGGAGCAAUCCUGGUGGCGAGUGGCGAACGGGUGAGUAAUAUAUCGGAACGUACCUUGGAGUGGGGGAUAACGUAGCGAAAGUUACGCUAAUACCGCAUAUUCUGUGCGCAGGAAAGCAGGGGAUCUUAGGACCUUGUGCUCUUUGAGCGGCCGAUAUCAGAUUAGCUAGUUGGUGAGGUAAAGGCUCACCAAGGCGACGAUCUGUAGCGGGUCAGAGAGGAUGAUCCGCCACACUGGAACUGAGACACGGUCCAGACUCCUACGGGAGGCAGCAGUGGGGAAUUUUGGACAAUGGGGGCAACCCUGAUCCAGCCAUGCCGCGUGAGUGAAGAAGGCCUUCGGGUUGUAAAGCUCUUUCGGCCGGGAAGAAAUCGCAUCGGUUAAUACCCGGUGUGGAUGACGGUACCGGAAUAAGAAGCACCGGCUAACUACGUGCCAGCAGCCGCGGUAAUACGUAGGGUGCGAGCGUUAAUCGGAAUUACUGGGCGUAAAGCGUGCGCAGGCGGUUUGUUAAGAUAGGCGUGAAAUCCCCGGGCUCAACCUGGGAACUGCGCUUAUGACUGGCAGGCUAGAGUACGGCAGAGGGGGGUGGAAUUCCACGUGUAGCAGUGAAAUGCGUAGAGAUGUGGAGGAACACCAAUGGCGAAGGCAGCCCCCUGGGUCGAUACUGACGCUCAUGCACGAAAGCGUGGGUAGCAAACAGGAUUAGAUACCCUGGUAGUC
rnacentral:rRNA from 1 species